ensembl:lncRNA
GGAUCUUCUGAGUGCAAACAGUGACCUCUUGAUAACAAUUGACCAAGUCCUGGACUCUUGCUGCUGAGAUGAACAUUCUUCACUCCUGAUAAACAGGAUAUCGGACUCCCCUCAGAGAUGAUGCCUGCUCACCUGACUCCAUCCCAGAUCACAGAAUUGUUUUCAAAGCUGGUGAGGCUUGGAUACUCUUCAGAGAGCCAGGGAGAGCUUCAGUCUUCAGUCUUCAGCCUGGUGAAAUCCCACCAACAGGGCUUUAUCAUCUACAAAGCGGGGGGAUUCCCUGGGCAGGGGCAACUGAGCCUCUUCCUACUCUGACAACCUGUGGGUCUAUAAAUCUUCAACUACAAGAACAAAACCCCAGGCAUUCUGGCCAAAGAAGCCCCAAUGAACAGUUUGCUUAGUUCCACUAGAACUUGGUUCAAAGUGGCCCAAACUUGGACAGCUCCUUGAGGCUUGUUAGAACGGAUCCAGUGCCUCCUUCUGUCUUUCAGGGUCUGGAGAACCAGAACUUGGGGCUGUAUGGGGAAACCCUGGAGUGCUACAGUUGCCCGAGGAUUAAUAGCAGAUUGACUGAAUCACACAGAACCUGGCGGAUUCUUCCCCGUCCCUUAACCAGGGCUAUCGGACUCUGGAGCAACCCUUUCUGGUACAGAUGGAAUCAGAAUACAUUUCACCCGAGUCCUGUUUCAAGUGCCAGUACUACCUUUACUGGGUUAGUGAAGCCAGAUCAAGCCUGAGACACCCCAAGGAGCUAAAGAUAUGGCCCUGGUGGUUGUGAGCAGUCCAAGUCCUCAGGCAGCAGCUCUCAACCCUGGCAGGUGGUACAGAGACCAUGCGGGAACUUGAAGAGGAGAUUGGAGUGCUUCAAAAGGCGUUCUAUCUGGGGGAGAAAUGGGUUCCCUGAAGAACUGAUGCUUUCAAACUGUGGUGCUGGAGAAGACUCUUGAGAGUCCCUUGGACUGCAGGGAGAGCAACCCAGUCAAUCCUAUAGGAAACCAACCCUGAAUAUUCAUUGGAAGGACUGAUGCUGAAGCUCCAAGACUUUGGCCACCUGAUAUGAAGAGCCGACUCACUGAAAAAGAUCUGAUGCUAGGAAAGAUUGAGGGCAAGAGGAGAAGGGGACGACAAAGGAUGAGAUGGUUGGAUGGCCUCGUCGCCUCAACGGACAUGAGUUUGAGCAAACUCCAGGAGAUGGUGAAGGACAGGGAAGCCUGGCAUGCUGCAGUCCAUUGAGUUGCAAAGAGUCAGACAUGACUGGGUGACUGAACGAUAGCAACGACGACAAAGGGGGGAACUGAGCGCAUGGCAGGGAACACAUUUGGGGGUGGCUGGGGUGUGGGCUCUGGGCUGGUUGGUUUGUAUUUGAGAGGCACAUUUGUGGGUUUGUGGUUGGAACCUCUAGGAACUGGCUAGUCCACGGAAGGGUCAGAGAGGCCCCAGAUGUCAAAGCUAAAACACAGACCUGAUUAAUGUAAGACUUGGUUAAUCCAGGAUGGUUCGCAGAGAAAUGGGCAGUGGGGAGUGGUGUUGGCUCUGAGCUUCAGAUCCAUUUUAAAGUCUCUCUCCUAAAAGCACUGUCUGGUCUAUAAAUUAUGCGCUGGGGUGUCACUGCCUCUUGUCCUCCAAGCUCAGCCAGUCUCUCCGAUGCCAGAUUAGGGGUAUCCCCUUCCUUUUCCUCUAUAGGUGAGGAAGGGGGUCCCUUGCUCAGGGUUCAUGGACUGAGACCAGCUGUUGCCAUGCGAGGUCAUAGACCCCUUACAAGCCCUCAGGGGACAAGUGUAACAGUGUGGGGUGUGCUGGGGCAGGGGGGUGACCAGAGCCACAUGGAAGGUACCUCCUGACGGGACACCAAGGAAUCUCUUCGUGUGAUUCACUGCACCAGAGCCUUCCUUCCAGCUGCCAAAGCCUGCGGAGCCCGCCUGUGACAGCCUGCCUGGGGGGCUGGAGUGUCCCGAAGACGACAAAUCAAAGCUGGCUCAGCCCGAAGCCUGCAUGCCUUUUGGGAGGGCUGGCAGGUGCCGUGCCCAGGUGGGGUUUCUUAUGUAACGUGACACAUGCAUGAGCCGGCCGUGGGUGCACCCGGGGCCGGCAGGGUGACUCAGGCCCCGCCAUCACUGCUUCCCAGAAACGUGGCACUCGGGUGUCAGCUGAGCAAGUGUCUGUGUGUCACUGUGAUUGUUAGAAAGCAAAGGAGGGUCCCAUGAUGCAGCGGGAGCGGGGGUGGGGGCGGACUGUGGAGACUGCAGGGUAUCAAGGCCAAAGGAGGUGGGUGGUGUGGGAUGGGGAGGCAAGAUCUGGAAACUUCCCUUUCCAUUUGGACCAGACUGGGAGGUAAGGAGGGCUGCCAGUGGCACAUCGUCCUCCUACCCUGGGUGGGCGGACGCCUGGCUGAUUCUUAGCAGUGGAAUCCCAUGCGGUGAAUAAUCCUGUGUCACUCAUUACAGAAAUCAAGUCUCUGUGAUGAGAUCUUCCUCUUUCUGGUUGCAAGGCAAUGGAGUGUUUCUUUAUCCCUGCCACUGAGCAGGGAGCAGGGCUCGUCCUCCACAAGUGACCUGGCAGUGCCCUGGGGGUUCGGCUUCUAGGGGUCUUCUCCUGGACCGCCCACAUCCCCAGUGCUGGCCCCGUGUCCCUGGCCCGAAGGUGGAGGGUAAGGUUAAGGGAGGCAGGGGUACAGUUAUGGGACAGGAGGCCUCGAAUCAGAGCAGGAGGGGCCUGCUGGAGCCUCCCGUGCCCGCGCAGGGGGAGGGCUUGGUCUGUGGAAGGAGGACCGGGGAGUCUGGGCUGGGCGCCCCGGGGAGGGAGCAUCAGCAUGACAUGGGUCCAGUGUCCAGCUGGCCUCUGUCCAUGCUCCAGGCCCCAUGGGCAGGUUGGAGGGGAGAAUGGGCAGUGGCCCUUCGUGUCCUCAUCCCAUUGAGUGUCUGUCUCUGAAACCGGGGCGAGGAGGAGGAAGCCAAGGACAAGCUGGGAAGAACAGGCCUUUCCACAAUGAAGACUGAUCUCUUCUGAACUGAAUACAAAACAAAGUCUCUCCUGUAGCUCUCAAGUGCUCUGUGUGUUCUCUCUAAGCCACACCAUCUAGACAACCUGGACCCAUAGGUGUGAUGGGAACCGCGUUGUUCCAGGCCACACGUGUGCAGACCAGUGUCCCACACUGUAUAGCGUCAUCAGGCACAGACUCUGAGAACGGAAAGGAACCUUCGAGCUUGUUGACGCACUAUUCAUGUGGGCUGCCCUGUGCUAUUCAGUGACUAGGAUCCCGAAGAGGCGGGUCAGCUGGACUCGUGUGUUUGGCUAACCACAGUGGCAAUAUGGAGAGGAUUCAGUUCCUGACGUGCCUUUCAUCCGGGGGUGAUGAUGGUGUUUGGUGAGAUUUACCUGCUGGGGUGAAUGUACACCCUUGGAACUUCUUUGGCUGGACUGCAAAUUUAUAGCAUAC